CCAAUAGCGUAUAUUAAAGUUGUUGCAGUUAAAAAGCUCGUAGUUGAACUUCGGGGUUUACCCAUUGGUCAGGCUUAAUUGUCUGUACUGGUGAGAUAAAUCUCUACCUUCUGAGGAACUUUCAUGCCAUUUAGUUGGUGUGAUAGGAAAUCAGGACUGUUACUUUGAAAAAAUUAGAGUGUUUAAAGCAGGCUAACGUCUGAAUACAUUAGCAUGGAAUAAUGAAAUAGGACGGAUUGGUUCUAUUUCGUUGGUUUCUAGGAUCACCGUAAUGAUUAAUAGGGAUAGUUGGGGGCAUUAGUAUUCAAUUGUCAGAGGUGAAAUUCUUGGAUUUAUUGAAGACUAACUAUUGCGAAAGCAUUUGCCAAGGAUGUUUUCAUUAAUCAAGAACGAAAGUUAGGGGAUCGAAGACGAUCAGAUACCGUCGUAGUCUUAACCAUAAACUAUGCCGACUAGGGAUCGGACGAAGUUAAUUUUAUAAUGACGCGUUCGGCACCUUACG
rnacentral:rRNA from 1 species